UACGUAGGGUGCAAGCGUUGUCCGGAAUUAUUGGGCGUAAAGAGCUCGUAGGCGGUCCGUCGCGUCGGCUGUGAAAACCCGGGGCUCAACCCCGGGCCUGCAGUCGAUACGGGCAGACUAGAGUGCGGUAGGGGAGACUGGAAUUCCUGGUGUAGCGGUGAAAUGCGCAGAUAUCAGGAGGAACACCGGUGGCGAAGGCGGGUCUCUGGGCCGUAACUGACGCUGAGGCACGAAAGCGUGGGGAGCAAACAGG
rnacentral:rRNA from 1 species